rnacentral:misc_RNA from 1 species
AAGUCGUAACAAGGUUUCCGUAGGUGAACCUGCGGAAGGAUCAUUCAUAAUCAAGUGUUUUUAUGGCACUUUCAAAAAUCCAUAUCCACCUUGUGUGCAAUGUCAUCUCACUGGGGGCCACCGGCUGUCAAAAGCCGUCUGGUCACCUUUGGGAUUCAUAUCUACUCAGAACUUUAGUGAUUUUGUCUGAAACAUAUUAUGAAUACUUAAUUCAAAAUACAACUUUCAACAACGGAUCUCUUGGCUCUC